rnacentral:tRNA from 2 species
GGAGGCGUGGCAGAGCCUGGCUGAAUGCACCGGUUUUGAAAACCGACGUGGGGCAACCCACCGGGGGUUCGAAUCCCUCCGCCUCCGCCA